rnacentral:rRNA from 1 species
AUUGAACGCUGGCGGCAGGCCUAACACAUGCAAGUCGAACGGUAACAGGAAGAAGCUUGCUUCUUUGCUGACGAGUGGCGGACGGGUGAGUAAUGUCUGGGAAACUGCCUGAUGGAGGGGGAUAACUACUGGAAACGGUAGCUAAUACCGCAUAACGUCGCAAGACCAAAGAGGGGGACCUUCGGGCCUCUUGCCAUCGGAUGUGCCCAGAUGGGAUUAGCUUGUGGGUGGGGUAACGGCUCACCAAGGCGACGAUCCCUAGCUGGUCUGAGAGGAUGACCAGCCACACUGGAACUGAGACACGGUCCAGACUCCUACGGGAGGCAGCAGUGGGGAAUAUUGCACAAUGGGCGCAAGCCUGAUGCAGCCAUGCCGCGUGUAUGAAGAAGGCCUUCGGGUUGUAAAGUACUUUCAGCGGGGAGGAAGGGAGUAAAGUUAAUACCUUUGCUCAUUGACGUUACCCGCAGAAGAAGCACCGGCUAACUCCGUG